rnacentral:rRNA from 1 species
CCUACGGGUGGCAGCAGUGAGGAAUAUUGGUCAAUGGACGAAAGUCUGAACCAGCCAAGCCGCGUGAAGGAUGACUGCCCUAUGGGUUGUAAACUCCUUUUAUAUGGGAAUAAAAUGUUCCACGUGUGGGAUUUUGUAUGUACAAUAUGAAUAAGGAUCGCCUAACUCCGUGCCAGCAGCCGCGGUAAUACGGAGGAUCCGAGCGUUAUCCGGAUUUAUUGGGUUUAAAGGGAGCGUAGGUGGAUUGUUAAGUCAGUUGUGAAAGUUUGCGGCUCAACCGUAAAAUUGCAGUUGAGACUGGCAGUCUUGAGUGCAGUAGAGGUGGGCGGAAUUCGUGGUGUAGCGGUGAAAUGCUUAGAUAUCACGAAGAACUCCGAUUGCGAAGGCAGUUCACUGGACUGCAACUGACACUGAGGCUCGAAAGUGUGGGUAUCAAACAGGAUUAGAUACCCGGGUAGUC